rnacentral:rRNA from 1 species
ACAUCCCGACUUCGGAAGGGAUGUGUUUAUUAGAUAAAAAACCAAUGCCCUUCGGGGCUUUUUGGUGAUUCAUGAUAACUUUACGGAUCGCAUAGCCUUGCGCUGGCGACGGUUCAUUCAAAUUUCUGCCCUAUCAACUUUCGAUGGUAAGGUAUUGGCUUACCAUGGUUUCAACGGGUAACGGGGAAUUAGGGUUCGAUUCCGGAGAGGGAGCCUGAGAAACGGCUACCACAUCCAAGGAAGGCAGCAGGCGCGCAAAUUACCCAAUCCCGACACGGGGAGGUAGUGACAAUAAAUACUGAUACAGGGCUCUUUUGGGUCUUGUAAUUGGAAUGAGUACAAUUUAAACCUCUUAACGAGGAACAAUUGGAGGGCAAGUCUGGUGCCAGCAGCCGCGGUAAUUCCAGCUCCAAUAGCGUAUAUUAAAGUUGUUGCAGUUAAAAAGCUCGUAGUUGAAACUUGGGCCUGGCUGGCGGGUCCGCCUCACCGCGUGCACUCGUCCGGCCGGGCCUUCCUUCUGAAGAACCUCAUGCCCUUCACUGGGCGUGUUGGGGAAUCAGGACUUUUACUUUGAAAAAAUUAGAGUGUUCAAAGCAGGCCUUUGCUCGAAUACGUUAGCAUGGAAUAAUAAAAUAGGGCGUGCGUUUCUAUUUUGUUGGUUUCUAGAGACGCCGCAAUGAUUAACAGGAACAGUCGGGGGCAUCAGUAUUCAGUUGUCAGAGGUGAAAUUCUUGGAUUUACUGAAGACUAACUACUGCGAAAGCAUUUGCCAAGGAUGUUUUCAUUAAUCAGUGAACGAAAGUUAGGGGAUCGAAGACGAUCAGAUACCGUCGUAGUCUUAACCGUAAACUAUGCCGACUAGGGAUCGGGCGAUGUUCUUUUUCUGACUCGCUCGGCACCUUACGAGAAAUCAAAGUUU